rnacentral:rRNA from 1 species
UACAGAGGUCCCAGGCGUUGUUCGGAUUCACUGGGCGUAAAGGGUGCGUAGGUGGUCGGGUAAGUCUGAUGUGAAAUUUCGGAGCUUAACUCCGAAACUGCAUUCGAUACUGCGGUGCUUGAGGACUGGAGAGGAGACUGGAAUUCAUGGUGUAGCAGUGAAAUGCGUAGAGAUCAUGAGGAAGACCAGUGGCGAAGGCGGGUCUCUGGACAGUUCCUGACACUGAGACACGAAGGCCAGGGGAGCAAACGGG